rnacentral:rRNA from 1 species
GAACGGGUGAGUAACACGUGAGUAAUCUGCCCUGUGCUCUGGGAUAGCCACCGGAAACGGUGAUUAAUACCGGAUAUGACCACUCCGCGCAUGUGGUGGUGGUGGAAAGUUUUUCGGCGCAGGAUGUGCUCGCGGCCUAUCAGCUUGUUGGUGAGGUAAUGGCUCACCAAGGCUUUGACGGGUAGCCGGCCUGAGAGGGUGACCGGUCACACUGGGACUGAGACACGGCCCAGACUCCUACGGGAGGCAGCAGUGGGGAAUAUUGGACAAUGGGCGGAAGCCUGAUCCAGCAACGCCGCGUGAGGGAUGACGGCCUUCGGGUUGUAAACCUCUUUCAGUACCGACGAAGCGUGAGUGACGGUAGGUACAGAAGAAGGACCGGCCAACUACGUGCCAGCAGCCGCGGUAAUACGUAGGGUCCGAGCGUUGUCCGGAAUUAUUGGGCGUAAAGGGCUCGUAGGCGGUUUGUCGCGUCGGGAGUGAAAACCAUGGGCUUAACUCAUGGCUUGCUUUCGAUACGGGCAGACUAGAGGUAUGCAGGGGAGAAUGGAAUUCCUGGUGUAGCGGUGAAAUGCGCAGAUAUCAGGAGGAACACCGGUGGCGAAGGCGGUUCUCUGGGCAUUACCUGACGCUGAGGAGCGAAAGUGUGGGGAGCGAA